rnacentral:rRNA from 1 species
UGAGGAAUAUUGGUCAAUGGGUGAGAGCCUGAACCAGCCAAGUAGCGUGCAGGAUGACGGCCCUAUGGGUUGUAAACUGCUUUUAUGUGGGGAUAAAGUGCGUGACGUGUCAUGCAUUGCAGGUACCACAUGAAUAAGGACCGGCUAAUUCCGUGCCAGCAGCCGCGGUAAUACGGAAGGUCCGGGCGUUAUCCGGAUUUAUUGGGUUUAAAGGGAGCGUAGGCUGUCUAUUAAGCGUGUUGUGAAAUAUACCGGCUCAACCGGUGGCUUGCAGCGCGAACUGGUCGACUUGAGUAUGCAGGAAGUAGGCGGAAUUCAUGGUGUAGCGGUGAAAUGCUUAGAUAUCAUGACGAACUCCGAUUGCGCAGGCAGCUUACUGUAGCAUAACUGACGCUGAUGCUCGAAAGGGCGGGUAUCAAACAGG